UUAUAGCAGCACUACCUAUAAACAAUAGUGAAAGUAUAGAAAGAGACCAAAUGUCCAUCAGUGGAUGAAUGGAUAAAGAAGAUGUGGUAUAUAUAUACAAUGGAG